GAGAAGGUGCAGUUUCGGUUCAGAACAAAUUACGCGUCUUUUUUCCAUUGUAUUGUUCUUGGGGAAGCAUGGCUACUUUAGCGGAGAUCGUUGGUCUGGAUGAACAAUUACUAAAUGAAUAAUUUGGUCUCCAGCCCCGUAUCCGGUGCAAUCCGAGCCAAAGCGACAAUUUGUUGCAUUUAUCACCAACUGUCCUCUUAGACGACAACGAGUUGAGAGAGGGAGGAUUCCAAGACAGAGGUGCAAAAGACGUUCUGAGUCGCGUAGCAAAACAUAUUUGCGAGUCAGAAGAUCCUUCUCUAUUUCAAGUCCCUGAAAUAACCGACUACCACAUGGGAUAUGCGAAAAGAUCCGCGAACAAAGCGAGUAACAUGGCCAUCGAUGAAGAAGCAGCUAAAGUCUGGAUGACUUAUAUGAAUCUGUCGCGUCUAAAUCAAGAUCAGUCGCGAAAUCCCGAUUCGGAAGGCGAGGAGUCGCAGGAUUCAACUUCAUCAGAUGAAGACAUGGAUAUUGACCCUCCAACAGCGGCAGAUACGUCAAAUGAAAAUGAUGAGGAUGUGGUCAGCCCACAGGAGAGCGGACUAAAAUUUCACUUGAAAGGUUCGCUCAUUCUUUUAUUCUCGAUUCUGUUGAUUUUCUUCGAUAAAAAGAAGAAGAAGAAGAAGAAGAAAAAUUCCGCAAGUUCGGAUGAUGAAAAACCAAAGAUUGGUCCGAAUAAGGUCUCAGAUUUUCUCUUAUUUUGGAUAAUUCCAUAUUUGCUCAGUUACACACAACGAAAAGUACGAGAGAUCAAGGAGCACCACCGAAAACGUUUAAGACCAGAAUUUCCACCAGUGUGCAGAAAGUCGACUCUUGAUAUCAUCGAAGGUGCAAUGUUAUCUUGUGGAGUUUCAGGUGAACUCAAAGCAACUAUUGUGGGAAAAUACAAAGAUUUUUAUAGUACAGAAAAUCUGGAAUACGAGUACGAAUUGUUGCAAAGUCCCGAAGGGACACCUAUUAUCCUGGUCCCAAAGGAUUAUAAAGUCACGCACAUGCCAUUGAAACUUAAAGACGUCGGAACUAAGUGGCGAGAGCUUGGUGAUACAAACCUCCUUACAGUAUUUCUUAGCAAGUUCAUUAAGAGCAGGAAAAUCCAAAGGGAUUUCUUCGACUCAUUGGAUUUUGUGAAAAAUCGGCAGGGUAUCGACUAUGCCAUCAUAUUACCAGAUGAGAAAACAUUCGUUGAACUUAAAGAUGCCUUUGAAAGAGAAAGUCACGAUUAUUUGAUCACUCCGAAAGUAGGACGAAACCUCAUCGUACCCAGACUAGGGUUGGUUACUACCACUGAGAAGCAUUUAAGGGUUUGCUUCACCUAUUUCCAGGGCAGUAAGGGAGAGCAAGUGGCUGCUAUGUUCAGAGCCAUUGGUGCUCAUUUCCUGGAUCACUUUUGCUUAAUUAUCUUGCAUGGCUUGAGCCGGAACAAAAGUGACCCAAACUGCAACAUUGGAAGUCUUUAUCCUGUGGGCAUUGCCAGAAAGGUGACUUUCAGGGGCAACAGUGUUCAGCUGGAGAAGAAAACAAAGAAAUCUGAAAGUAAGAACACAGGAAAGAAGGAUUUCUCAGCCAGCCAGGGUAAAUUUUGUAGAGCAGAAUUUCCCAUAACUUACAAUUUAUGGGAGACUGAAACUAGAAACACAGAGGUAGUGAAGAAUCUGAUCUCACGAGCUGAAGCCAGUUUAGGAUUUAACCCAAAUUUUGAACGUGAUGCACUUCUUCAUGUUGCUUAUGCCACAAAAAGCCAUGAAAAAAAGCUAAAGGAAGAGCCAUUUGGAGCUUCUAUGGCACCUAAUAAGGAGGCUCUAAGCAAGUACCAAAUACGAGCUGUAAAUCUAGAUGGAGCUUUCCUUGGCAAUGUUGUGAGAAGUGGACGUAAGGAGAACAUUGCAGUUGUCCUUGCCAUCAAAGAUGUCUGUGGGAGAGAAGGCUGUUGUUUUGCAAAUGUACGCCAGGCCAUUCAAUCCAUCAUAGUCAAUUUUGUAAGGGCAGCUGUUGUUGCUGGCCUCCCCAAAGUCUACCCAUCAGAACCAGACGAAGAAGACAGGGUCAUAAUUGAAAGUGGUUCGUCUGAGGAUGAGGAUGAGAGUCCUGAUGAUGAACCAUGUGUCAGUGGACAAAAUGUGGCUGGCUGGCUUCAGGGCGGGUGAUGCGCGACUUCAAAGGAAGGCUGGAGGUCCUAUUCAAGAUAUAGCAGAAAAAUUCAAAUACUAAGAUAAGCAAGAAGACCUGGCUCACAAUUUGGACAACCUGGGAUGAAAAUGGAUUUGGUUCGGAUAUUGUGAGCAACGAAGCCAAGGAAGUUGGUGUGAAGCGGAAGAAGUUUUUCGCUGGGGUGAGAAAGGACGGUUCGGACUAUAACUGAGCCAGACAGUUUGCAGUUUCCAGCUCGAGGCUGUUCUCGCGGUGUGUGACAAAAUGGCGGAUACCAACAGCAGCGA
rnacentral:misc_RNA from 1 species